GUUAAGUACUUUCGAGUAUUUGGAAGUAAGCGCUACAUUUUACGUGAUAGAGAGAACUUGAGUAAGUUUGAAUCGAAGAGUGAUGAAGGAAUCUUCCUAGGGUCCUCUAGAAAUAGCCGAGCAUUUAGGGUGUAUAACUUACGUACUUGUGUGGUGAUGGAGUCAGUAAAUGUUGUGAUAGAUGAUGCUGUAAGUGAGGGGGAGAGUGUUGAAAAUUGUGAUAGAGAUGGUGAUCUUAUAAGUUCUAGUGAUUCUACUGAGCCACCUGUGUCUGAAUCAUCUCUUGGGAAACCUGAAACACCUGAAAAGAAAACACUUCCCCAAGAUCGAGAUAAAGAUCCUAAGGAACCAUCGACUAGGGUUAAGUCUAAUCAUCCUAAGGACAAUAUCAUUGGGGAUCUAGAUGAAGGUAUGAGGCUUCGUAGGAGAGUACUGAACAAUCUAGCAUACACUAGCUAUGUAUCUCAGGUAGAACCUAAGAAAGUUGAAGAGGCCCUUGGUGAUGAGUGCUGGGUGGAUGCGAUGCAUGAGGAGCUCAAUCAAUUUGCUAGGAACAAUGUGUGGAUCUUAGUUCCCAGACCUGAGAAUUGUAAUGUUAUUGGUACUAAAUGGAUCUUUAAGAAUAAGACAGAUGACCAAGGUACUAUAAUUAGGAAUAAGGCUAGAUUAGUUGCUCAUGGUUAUACUCAAGUUGAAGGAAUUGAUUUUGAUGAGACUUUUGCCCCUGUUGCACGACUUGAGUCUAUUCGGAUUCUGCUUGCUGUUGCUUGUACCUUAGGGUUCAAGUUGCAUCAAAUGGACGUUAAAAGUGCCUUCUUGAAUGGACUUCUUCAAGAAGAAGUCCAUGUGGAACAACCAAAAGGAUUUGUAGAUCCUAAAUUUCCCCACUAUGUCUACAAACUACACAAAGCCCUCUAUGGUCUAAAGCAAGCUCCUAGAGCUUGGUAUGAGAGACUUACAUCAUACCUUGAAGAACAUGGAUUCUCUCGAGGUGGUGCAGAUAGG
rnacentral:lncRNA from 1 species